rnacentral:lncRNA from 1 species
CUAAAUAACUGUAAUUAUCCACCGUAUUAUGAUAUUAAGCUUGGAUUACUAUAUGCAGAUUAGUUUUCGCGAAACAGCAAAGCACAUAUCAGACCAUCUCUCGCGGCACAGGCCAGUUGGCUUUGAGCAGCACUAUAUCAUCUUCAUGUUCAGUGUGCAAUUUCUGAAUUAACUUUCAUAAUCAGUGCCUCUCAUACUUGCAGAUAGAUUUCUGUUUAAAGCAUUUCCCUCUAUCACGUUUAUGACAAAUAACUAACUGAAAAAGAUAGAGGCAUGCAAUUUAGAUAUAUACUUUAAGAGGGAUCAGGUUUAGAAAUAUAUAAGAGCUUAAAAAGUUAUCAGACAAAAGAAUGAUAAAAGAAGCUAAUAGAAGACACUAGUCAGAUAUACAUUGUAAAAGAGUACUGUUGAUCUUCCUUGUAUAAAAAAGGAGUAGUGCUGAUUUUAGAUAUUGGCAAUAAGACACAAAAGUAAUGUUACAACUAAAAAACAAAUGCUUAUUAACUUACUAAGUUAAUCAUGAGUUUUUGCAGAAAUAUAGGAGCAACAAAAGGAACAAAAUAUUUAUUUUAUUUCUUUAAAUAUCUUACUUAAAAAUAGAUCAUGUUCAGGUGUCCACUGAAUUAAAAUUAAACUAAAGUUGAAUACAUCAAAACAUGCACAACCUGCAUAUUCAAAUAGGUCGUCAUCAACUCCUAUCCGUAGUCUGCAUUUGGGAGUUUGAAAAUGUAACAGGACAAGUAAAAUAUCCAAAUAUCCGAAAGAGCAGCCAACAUUCUCCCCAAGGCGACUAAGAAAAGGGGCAUGUCAAGUUUCUAAAGUGAGUUAAAGUGGACCUUGCAUCCUUUCAUAUUGAUCUUAUUAGUAGAAGUGAGUGGUAAUUUAAGACGAUAAUACCAAAAUAUUUUUGCAGCAAAAAAUCACUUUGUGUGUUUUACGUAUAAAUUACUCUCUCCAAACUCUACUUAUAAAAAUUCACUGGAUUCCUUGUUGUUGUUUUUCACUGAAGUACAUCUCCUUAAAUCAAAUGAAUAACUAAGAAAGAGUAUUUGUUGCACCUUGAUCACUUUCACUAAAUAAUCAAUAUAGCUUUGAAGGAAAAAAUGACGGCACAUCUUGAAAAUAACAGAAGUGGUAAGUUCAUAUUGCUUUGAGCUUCAAUAAUCUUAGUUUGAGGUCAAUAACUUAUCAAAAAGAAUCUUAAUGUGCAGUAACCAUGUACAUCUAUCCAGACGCUACAUUAGCCAAUUGUAUAAUCAAAGUACAUCUAUAAUCACAUUAACAGUUUUCCAACAAUAAAAUCAAACACUAAUUAAGUUUUGGGGCAAUUGUAGCUCAUCAAGAUACGGAAGGUAAGUUUUAUAAACUGCACUCGGUCAAUGUUUUCCUUUGGGGUGGAAAAUUAGAUAAUUUGGGUUCAACUUAUGCAAGCUAAAAGCUAACGAAAAAAAAUAGAAGGGAAUAGAAGAGCAAUACUUAUCGGAAUCCAAAAGUACGAAAAAACAGACGCAGGAGCAGACAACUACUAUAUACCACAUCACAGAGCGCAAACUGAAAUGAAAGGAGAGCAUCAUAUGUAAUUUGAAAAAGUUUGAGGUUAACUAUAGACAUGCAAUUGAGAAACCAAACAGAGAAUAAAGUAAUUUGAAGGGCGAAGAUCAACUAGAACAAAAACAGAAAAUCUUCAUGGAGGAGAGAGCCAAGAAACGCCAGACUGAAAGUGCCAAUAGGCGAAGACGAAGGGGAAGUCCGAAAGACAAAAGUAACUCUACUACAAUUGAAGGCCACAGAGUCGCUAGCGGAUGUUUA